AACGAACGCUGGCGGCGCGUCUUAAGCAUGCAAGUCGAACGGCAUGAGGAAGCUUGCUUCCUCAGAGAGUGGCGGACUGGUGAGUAACACGUGGGUGACCUACCCUUGAGAUGGGGAUAGCCAUUAGAAAUAGUGGAUAAUACCGAAUACGCUCUACGGACUCUGGUUUGUAGAGGAAACAGGCUACGGCCUGGCUCGAGGAUGGGCCCGCGUCCGAUUAGCUAGUUGGUGAGGUAACGGCGUCACCAAGGCGACGAUCGGUAGCCGAACUGAGAGGUUGAAUCGGCCACAUUGGGACUGAGACACGGCCCAGACUCCUACGGGAGGCAGCAGUGGGGAAUAUUGCGCAAUGGGGGAAACCCUGACGCAGCAACGCCGCGUGAAGGAAAGGCCUCGGUUGUAAACUCUUUGAUAGGGACGAAUAAUGACGGUACCCUAAAAACAAGACCACGGCUAACUACGUG
rnacentral:rRNA from 1 species